AAGUCGUAACAAGGUUUCCGUAGGUGAACCUGCGGAAGGAUCAUUAACACGUUAUCCAACGUAUCACAAACGCGCAAUUGUUUCUCUAAAACAAUUUUCUAUUUUUUACAAAUCUAACCCCUUUUGCUAGUUGACUUUAUUCUAUGUUGCAAUAAAACUAAUUCAUUUUAGUUUUUUGCACACGUUUAAUUAAUUGAACGUUAAAGAUACAACUCUUAGCAAUGGAUAUCUAGGUUCUC
rnacentral:misc_RNA from 1 species